rnacentral:rRNA from 1 species
UACGGGGGGUGCGAGCGUUGUCCGGAUUCACUGGGCGUAAAGGGCGCGUAGGCGGGUCUUCAAGUCUGGGGUGAAAUCUUUCGGCUUAACCGGAAAAGUGCCUCGGAUACUGGAGACCUCGAGGGAGGCAGGGGCGGAUGGAACUUCCGGUGGAGCGGUGAAAUGCGUUGAUAUCGGAAGGAACGCCGGUGGCGAAAGCGAUCCGCUGGACCUCUUCUGACGCUGAGGCGCGAAAGCCAGGGGAGCAAACGGG